rnacentral:lncRNA from 1 species
AUGAUUUUCAUCUGCAGACUCAGGCAAUGUGGAAUCCGACAUGCCCACUUGGGACUGCUGACUUGGGAAAAAGAUCCAAAGGUGUUUUGGGCCCAAGCCCUCAGCUGUAGACCAGAGCUGCUCACAGGCGGCACUCAAGUGUGGACCUGCUGCAUCGCUCCCCAAACCAGAGUCUCCUCCUUUGGGUUUUGGGGGGCCCCUGCUCCCCAGCCUCGUGGGGGAAGCCCUCCCUGGCAGUGGGGCCUCCCCCCAGGAAACGCCGACGACCAGCCACCCUCCAGCUCGCCCUCGCCAGCCCUCCUGACCCACCGCUGGCAGGAGGCACCGCCAAUUCCAUUUGUUAAAGUUUUUUUUUUUUUAAGUGUAAAUGAUAAUAAUAAAAUUCCACGAGUCUUUCUUUUUUUUUCUCUUUUCUCUCCCCUCAGGAUAAAUUUUAUGCGGCUGGCAGUUAAAAUAAGCGAUUACCCCAUAAAUACCAUCUUAAUAGCCUCGUCAACGCUACGGCCUCCGCUGUCCUGAGAUUUUUAUCUCAGGAAAGGGGGAGGGAGGGAGAGAGAAAACCACAACCCUUUAGAGCGCGGCGGCAGCGGCUGCCGCCGCUCGUUACUCGCUGCGUAGCUGGGGGGGCGGAGGGCUCCCCCCUUCCCCCGGGGGCAGCCGCGGGGCCGCCCCCUCCCCCGGC